rnacentral:lncRNA from 1 species
CUUUACUCAGUUUUACGAUAGAGUAGCAAACUAAUAACCUCUAAAAUCCUUUCUAGUUUUGAUUUCUUUGGAUUAGCUUCUCAAGGAUACUUUCCAAUCACUUCAAGCAGCAGUGCUGUGUCUCAGGCUGAUAUUCACUCUUCUUUAUGAUCACCAAGCACCUCACCAAAGGCAGAGGAAAUGCUGACUUUACAUUGACACAGACUUCAGAGAAACUUGACUGUUUAGUCAACAGGUUUGCCAUAAUGUGCACAGACCAAUAUUAGCAGCAAAAUAAGAAAAAAAGGAAAUGUUAAAUAAUUUAUUAUUUUAUAUUUUUGACUGCUAUUCUAUGUCAUCUUCCUGGUAAACUAAAUAUUUCUUAUUUUAUUAUUCUUUUCAUGAUGGAAAAGGUACCCAUCUUGGCUUGUGUUAAAAAAAAAUGGUUCACAUGAUUUUGAAGUUUGAAGGUAAAUCUAGCAUCAGGCAUGAUUUUGUCUAGAGGUCAAAAAGAUAAUGUCCGAGUUUCUUCUCUUCAUUUCUUUAGCCUCAGUCUUUUUUAGUGUGUUUGACUCAUUCUUUAUAACUGCAUAUGAUAUCCUACAAGUGGCUGACUGCGGCCACAGAGGUGUUGGUGCUAUUUCUGGGCCAAGGUGUGUAUUGGAUGUGGUCCCACCACACUCCUUGCUCUCUUGCCCCUCCCUCUGCCUGGGUGAAGCUAAUAGAGAAGCCCUGAGGGAUGGUGAUACCACAAGCCGUCAAGAAACUCAGUUACUCAGUCAUCAAUGGAGGAAAACUUCAGGCUGACUAGCAACGCCUGCUUGAACGAUUAAGACAGCAGGAGGCCGGGUGUGGUGGCUCAUGCCUAUAAUCCCAGCAUGUUGGGAGGCCGAGGUGAGUGGAUCACCUGACAUCAGGAGUUCAAGACCAGCCUGACCAACAAGAUGACAAUUGAAUUGAAUUCACUAAAGCUGGUUUGAACAAAGACAUCCUUAACCCUGGCUGCACACUAGAAUAAUUUGAGGAGCUUUAGAAGCCACAGAUACCUGGAGUCCCACGCCAGAGUUGACUCCCGCCACUGUAGGUAACUGACCAAGAGACCUUGGACCAGGCACUUCUCCUGCCUCCCUUGAAUCAAAGCUUCUAUAUCAACCACUGCUGACUCCCACACUUCCAGGGAAGUUCCAAUGAACUUGAAUGAUGUUUGAAGCUUCAGAGCUCUAUGUAAAUGUGAAGUAUUGCUAUCAAGACAUCUUAGAAUGAAAGAUAAUAUUUUCUUCUUUACUUUUACUCCUUAGAAGACUAUUACCUACUAGUAUGUCCCUUUUAUUUCUUAUUUAAUAAAAAAC